rnacentral:misc_RNA from 1 species
GGUCCAACAGCUUCAUAAGGUCCUGCGUCCAUUUCUUCUUAGGAGGCUGAAGUCUGAUGUGGAGAAAGGUCUGCCUCCCAAAAAAGAAACCAUUCUUAAAGUCGGUAUGUCCCAGAUGCAGAAGCAGUACUACAAGGCUCUGCUGCAGAAAGAUCUUGAGGUUGUCAAUUCUGGAGGGGAGCGCAAGCGUCUUCUCAAUAUAGCAAUGCAGCUACGAAAAUGCUGUAACCAUCCAUAUCUUUUUCAAGGUGCUGAGCCAGGACCCCCAUAUACAACAGGAGAGCAUCUUGUAGAAAAUGCUGGGAAAAUGGUUCUUCUAGACAAGUUGCUUCCUAAAUUAAAGGAACGUGGCUCAAGGGUUUUAAUAUUUUCACAGAUGACAAGGCUAUUGGACAUCCUUGAAGACUACUUGUUGUUCCGAGGUCACCAGUAUUGCCGGAUUGAUGGAAAUACUGGUGGUGAGGAUCGUGAUGCUUCUAUUGAGGCUUUUAACAAACCAGGGAGUGAAAAAUUUGCCUUCUUAUUGUCAACCAGAGCUGGUGGUCUUGGUAUCAAUCUUGCUACAGCAGAUAUUGUCAUUCUUUAUGAUAGUGACUGGAAUCCGCAGGUUGAUUUGCAGGCUCAGGACCGCGCCCAUAGGAUUGGACAGAAGAAGGAAGUCCAAGUAUUCCGUUUCUGCACUGAGUAUACAAUUGAGGAGAAAGUGAUUGAAAGGGCUUAUAAGAAGCUGGCACUUGAUGCACUGGUCAUCCAACAGGGACGACUGGCUGAGCAAAAAGCUGUUAAUAAGGAUGAACUGCUGCAGAU